GUUAAUUACAGCAACCCAGGCUUCUCUGUGUGAAGGAAACAGGCCCUCAUUUCUCUCAUUAAAGUAAAAUAUGACCCAUUUUUAUGCCUGCGUAUUUUGUUGCCGAGAUUACGAGAAUCAUCUUUUCUGUUUAUACGGAACGAAGAAACGUUACACCAGGAAGGCGGCCUGGGCCCCUGAGUCUGGGGAAUAGGAAGCAGAUGUCGUCCCGCCCUUAUUUUCCCUUCUACCCCAGCUCCCCUCUCCUCCUCUCCACCUCUUCUCCCUCCAGAAGCAUAAUCCUCAUUUCAGAUCAACACAAGGGAAGUGGAUGCGCCAGUUCCCUCCAACCAAGAAUGCUCCAAGUCGGCCUGGUGCCCCAAGAUGUGGGGCAAACUACUCCUGCUGAUCACAGAUGCAGUUACAGACCUUUGUGACCGCCUUGCUGGCCACAGGACUUCCACAUGACCAUCCUAGUGGCCUCACACAGGGAAGGGAUUCAGGAUAAGGCUGUUGGAGCAGUCCAGAAGAGAGAGAAAGACCGUGGAGAUGGAGCAGCUAAGACAUACUAGAGAUUUUUCUGAGAUGGACCUGCACACCUCUGACACAGCAGAUUCACAAUCUGUGCUUUCACCAGUGGGCAGCAGUUAAAUGAAUCCCAUCCCAUAGAAUGCUGGGCUACCGAGGAAAGAACAAGGAAGUGCUGUCUACACUCAUGAGGAACGGUCUCCCGGGUAGGGUGUGACUUGGCCGGAGCGAGGCGAGAGACAGAAGCUCUGAGAGUUAAGGAGCUUUUCCCGGGCCUCGUGGCCACCGAGCAGGAAACAGCAACCAGGCCACCCUCUCCUCUGCUUUGUCAUCUAUCAAAUGAGGAUGCUGACUUCUAGGUGAUUAGGACACAGUAUGAAGAGAAUUACGAUUUAGCCUAAGUCCAUGGCUCAGCGAACCUGCGGAGGAGGGGCUGGAACCUUCUAGGAGGAUGACAAGCUGACCUUUGACUGGAGUCCUGAAGAACAAGCAGCUGGUGGCCAGGUGGAGAGGAGAAGAGUGCUCCGGGAGAAGCACCAGCCUUGACGAAGGUUUGCAGGGACGAGGGCCUGCGGCUCCUCUAGGGGGGUGCCUGGAGUCACCUAGCUCUGAGCAGCUCAAACCCUGAGGCCGGAUCUGACGAUGACGCAGAAAGCCAGUGCCUAGCCCGGAGCCUGGCGCACAACAGGUGCUUAUGAAGGAAGGAAUCCCCUGGAGAUGAGCAAAGCAGAGGAACAGAAUGUUACGUGCUGUCUCCAUCAUCUUCUCCCGGGCGGCCAGGGAAGAACUCGGGUCAGUUGCUUCAUUCCCACUGAUCUGCUCAACAAACACACAUGGAGCAUCUCCUCAACUGUGCUGGUGCCAAGGGGACAGAGAUGAGUGAUGCUGCCCCCGUCCUCAGGGAUAUCCCCAUCUGGUGGUCUGACAGGAAAAGCAGACCUCCCCAUCAGAGCUGGAGGAGUGGGUAGCUUUUCACCAGGUGAAGAAAGAGAAGGCGUUUCAGGCAGAGGCCUCAGCACCGGCAGAGAUGUGGAGCUGAGGUUGGGAGAGGCUAAGAAACUCGCCCAGGCCAGUGUGAAGAAGAGCCCGGAUUUAAGCCCGGGUUUGUCUGAUUCCAAACCCACGCCUGCCCAUCCCACCAUCCCGCCUCCCCGAAGGCCAGUCCUCUCCUCGGCAAAGGGGUAUGAGGCAGCCCGGCCGCUGGACACAGAAUUAUUGAUCAUCCCUGAAUUCAAAUUUUAUGAGAAGGAAUUAUUUCAGUGGGAACGAAAAAUAUAACCUGAAGAAAGAAUGCUGGUUGAAACAUGAAAUGUCAAAAGCUCUCUUACUAUAUCCCAAAGGUAAUUAAAAUCUCUGCUGGUCAAAAUCAUGAAGAUGAGGAAAAAAUCUUGAUGGCCAAGAAAAUAUAGAUAAUGAAAUUGACAAGAGAGCUAACGAGAUGUGAAUCAGGACACUCCUAAACAGGAAGCACGAGAGCAAAAGAGAGAUGAAAACAACGGUACAGGAUAAGAUCAUCUGUACUCUCAAUGGAACACAUCAGAGGUCAAAGUCCCGUCCCCGCCCCGCCACAGGAACAAGCCAGUGACCUUCAGGCCACACAAACCUGAAUCAGCCACCAGCAGAUAGGAAAUUGUCACCGUGGCUUCUGUGGCCCUCAAGAUGGAGAAAUGUGGAGGCAAACCUAUUCUAGAAGGGCUGAGACACCAAGGGGAAAUAAACAUUCACUCACAGUGCUUUUGGAAUACGCUGAUUGCUGUGCAGGCCAUGACAAGGGACAGAGAGAGCCGUCAG
rnacentral:lncRNA from 1 species